rnacentral:rRNA from 1 species
UGGGGAAUAUUGGGCAAUGGGCGAAAGCCUGACCCAGCAACGCCGCGUGAAGGAAGAAGGUCUUGGAUUGUAAACUUUUGUCCUAUGGGAAGAAGGAAGUGACGGUACCAUGGGAGGAAGCCCCGGCUAACUACGUGCCAGCAGCCGCGGUAAUACGUAGGGGGCGAGCGUUGUCCGGAAUUACUGGGCGUAAAGGGCGCGCAGGCGGCCGAUCAAGUUAGAUGUGAAAUACCUGGGCUUAACCUGGGAACUGCAUUUAAAACUGGUUGGUUAGGAGUGCAGGAGAGGGAAGCGGAAUUCCUAGUGUAGCGGUGAAAUGCGUAGAUAUUAGGAGGAACACCAGUGGCGAAGGCGGCUUUCUGGACUGUAACUGACGCUGAGGCGCGAAAGCGUGGGGAGCGAACAGGAUUAGAUACC